rnacentral:misc_RNA from 1 species
UUGAAUAAACUUGGUUGGGUUGCUGCUGGCCCUUCGGGGCAUGUGCACGCUCACUCCAUUUUUAACCACCUGUGCACCUUGUGUAGAUCUGAACAACUCUCGGGGAAACUCGGUCAGAGGAUUGCUGUGUGUAAAAGCCAGCUUUUCUUGGGUUCGGAUCUAUGUCUCUAUAUACACCAUAAGAAUGUAUUGGAAUGUAAUUGAUAGGCGUUUACAGCCUUUAAAAUCAAAUA